CUUGCUGCAGGGGCUUGGUAAGUGUGUAAGGGCCCCAAAUUUGGUGGGAACAGCUAUGUUCCUGUGUGCCACCAGCUCCUGUUACCUGCUCUGGAGAUCAAACUCUCAAAGAAGUUUGAAGGCUGCAUGAAUGGCUGAGGACCCUUUCUGAAAACAGUAAAAUUUCUAAUGUGUACUGGUGUACCUGCCUGCAAAAUCUGGUUUGCUGAUGCUUCAGAUGAGAAGAAUUUGGCUGCAGUUUGUUGGAAUACAGUUCCUGUGCUGCUGUUUUUGCUGUUAAACAGGUGAUUUAAAGUGCUUCAGAGCCACUGAGUCAUCGCUGUGCUUAGAUGAGUCGAUUAUCACUGCAUCGGGGUCCUCUUGUGCAGGGCUCAUCUCCAAUGGUACUUCCCUACCGCCUACUUCUGCUGCUGUGGAGGUAUACAGUCUCUGUGUCUUGGCUUAUCUGGUUCCUUUGGGAUUUUCAGAGUUUUAUCACAGAGUGGAUUGGCUGCUUGAAUCAAAGUAGAGAAUUCAAGGAAGCUGCCAACUCAGAUAUUAGCAGACAAAUGAACGACAGUGUAUAUAGAGUUCAUGUUUCUGGAUGAUGGAAAUUUCAUUAGACUCUAUUUCCACUAUCAAUUAUUAAAUAAAUUCACUGGAGUCUAUUCCUUUCUUGCCUUACUGAAGAUGAAUAUACUCUGAGCAAGUGUGUACAAACCCUUGUUAUGCAUGAGCAGAUUUGGAAACAAGAGAUGUUAUAUCCCUGUUGUGCUCUGGGAAUUUCCUGAAGUGCCUCACUAAAAUUCUGUGCUAGAUGUUUGCUUGUGCUUUUCAGGAAUGAUGUUGAAGGAACAGAAGACUAUAUUAAACAUUUAAAGAAGGGUUGCAAAGUGGUUAGUAGGGAGUAUUAAAUUCUUAAACCCUCAGGCAGACAUCUGAGAGAAAUGCAACUGAAUAAAAAGUAUGAAACUGAGGAUUUAAAAAUAGGCAGUCUCUGAUAUUGGGAUUUCCAGUAAUUUUACAACCUAAUUGGAAGGAAAAUACUAAAACUAAAAUUAAGCCUUCAGAUUUAUUCUGUGUAUUCUUUCAUCUGUAUGUGUUUUUUCUUUUUUCUGGAUGUCUUCCUGUAAUUGGGUUUGUACAUAAGAGCUUUGGCACUGAACUUUGUAUGGUUCAAUUAUGGACAAAAUUUAUUCUUAGCUGGAAUAUACAUACCUAGAAAUUUUUACUUGAAAUCAGUCUUCUUUGAAAGAGAGCUUCUGUUUUAUGUUAUUUUCUUAUGAAGACUAGUCAUUCUGUGUCUUAAUUUUCUU